rnacentral:tRNA from 1 species
GCCGGUGUAGUUCAAGAGUUAGAACGAGGGACUCAUAAACCCUAGACGGUGGCGCGACUCCACCCGCCGGCA